rnacentral:rRNA from 1 species
GUGGGGAAUAUUGCACAAUGGGCGAAAGCCUGAUGCAGCAACGCCGCGUGAACGAUGAAGGUCUUCGGAUCGUAAAGUUCUGUCGCAGGGGAAGAUAAUGACGGUACCCUGUGAGGAAGCACCGGCUAACUACGUGCCAGCAGCCGCGGUAAUACGUAGGGUGCUAGCGUUAUCCGGAUUUACUGGGCGUAAAGGGUGCGUAGGUGGUCUUUCAAGUCGGUGGUUAAAGGCUACGGCUCAACCGUAUUAAGCCGCCGAAACUGGAAGACUUGAGUGCAGGAGAGGAAAGUGGAAUUCUCAGUGUAGCGGUGAAAUGCGUAGAUAUUGAGAAGAACACCAGUAGCGAAGGCGGCUUUCUGGACUGUAACUGACACUGAGGCACGAAAGCGUGGGUAGCAAACAGG